CACCAAUGACAAAGAGCUAAGUCUGUGUUGUGUAACCAGCAAUAACAUUGUAUAAAUAAGUGAAAGAAAUGUAAUUGAAUUUGGUUCUGCAGUUUUCAUAUUUCGGAUUGCCUUGCUCAUUUUUUAUUUUGAACUCAGAACCGCAAUUCAUUCUAUCGCUAGGACCGUCACGGCAUAGCCUACCGAAUCCGAUCAGCACACUGAAGAAUUCCCAGUAGAUUGAUUGUUGACCAUCAUAAAAAAUCCUCUAUCAUCUGGUGGACAAUCUCCUAGACCACUUCUACGCCUCCAAAAUCAAUGUGCUCUCAUUCGUGGCUAAUAUAACUUAUCACUAUGCUUGUUGAGUAAAAAUAUAAUUCGUCUCAGGAUAACUAUAAAAGCAUUGACCGACAUAGCGCCGCUAGACAUUUGUUGUGUGAUGUCACCGACAAACUGCCUGUGGGGAUUUCCUGCCACAUGUCCUCUCCGUAUCAAUUCAGAGACGACCCACGGCCCCUUCUGCCAAAUUUUAUUGAUGACGAUUCUGUUUUUUAUCACCUAAGUAAUUUUGUGAACAAUGAAAGAUAUUGUAAUA